AUUUGGUGUUGAUGGAGGGGGCAACAUCUUCAAGGCAAAACCUUAGACCUGAUGCAACAUCAUCCAGUGUCAAAAUCACCCUUUAGGAGGCACUUGAAGAUCAGUGCCCAAUAUGCACAGGAACAUUUCCAGUGUCAGAAGUAGACCUGCCAUGCCAGCUUUUGUGGAGACAGGCUCUCCAAGGAAGGUGAUUUUCAGGGGAUUGACUGGAAUUCCUGUUUUUUUAUGUUUACACAACUUCAGACGUGUUAUCUCGUGACAGACUUCAGAUGUCUUUGUGGUGUUUAUCUGUGCUGCUGCAUGACGAAUCACAU